rnacentral:rRNA from 1 species
GACGAACGCUGGCGGCGUGCUUAACACAUGCAAGUCGAGCGGAGCGGCGAACGGGUGAGUAACGCGUGAGUAACUGCCCCCCCCCCUGGGAUAACAGUGGGAAACGGAUGCUAAUACCGGAUAGUGGGGGAUGACUCGCGUCCUAUCAGCUUGUUGGUGGGGUAGGGGCCUACGAAGGCGACGACGGGUAGCAGGCCUGAGAGGGCGACCGGCCACAUUGGGCUGAGAGACGGCCCAAACUCCUACGGGGGACAGCAGUGGGGAGUAUUGCACAGUGGGGGAAACUCUGAUGCAGCAGCGCCGCGUGCGGGAUGACGGCCUUCGGGUUGUAAACCGCUUUCGGCCAUGACGCGGUAGUGGCAGAAGAAGCACCGGCUAACUACGUGCCAGCCGCCGCGGUAAUUC